CAAUAGCGUAUAUUAAAGUUGUUGCGGUUAAAAGCUCGUAGUUGGAUUUCUGCUGAGGACGACCGGUCCGCCCUCUGGGUGAGUAUCUGGCUCGGCCUUGGCAUCUUCUUGGGGAACGUAACUGCACUUGACUGUGUGGUGCGGUAUCCAGGACUUUUACUUUGAGGAAAUUAGAGUGUUUCAAGCAGGCGCACGCCUUGAAUACAUUAGCAUGGAAUAAUAAGAUAGGACCUUGGUUCUAUUUUGUUGGUUUUCGGAACUUGAGGUAAUGAUAAAGAGGGACAGACGGGGGCAUUCGUAUUACGGUGUUAGAGGUGAAAUUCUUGGAUCGCCGUAAGACGAACUACUGCGAAAGCAUUUGCCAAGCAUGUUUUCCUUAAUCAAGAACGAAAGUCAGAGGUUCGAAGACGAUCAGAUACCAU
rnacentral:rRNA from 1 species